ACACAGGAUUGGAUGGGGCCAACGCCACUGUGUAGCACAGGCGCGGUGCAGUGCCUGCUCUCCUGAGUGCCAAAGCAUCUUGAGUAAUGGUGUUUGCAGAGAUGCACCACCGUGCCUGGCUUUGCAGAAGUAUUAUAUAUUUCUUGCUCUAAUAUCUACAUUUUUCCAGUUGGAAUAAAAGAUGCAGGUCCAUAGACCUGAAAUCUAAGGAACUGGACACAGAGAAAGCCAACCAAUACACCAGAGAGCACUAAAUUUUAACGACUGGAUCACCAGAAAAGUAAUCAACUGAUCUAGAAAGAAGAUGUGUGGUGUGAAGCACAGACAGAAUCUAACGUCCAAACAAGCUGAUUCCAACAAGAUCACAGCCAUUCUCCAGGGAGCACUGGAAAGCACUGUAUUAGGAGGAGGCUUGAGUUUCAUUUGUUGAAGAGGAUUGAAUCAAAGAACACUGGCAACUGAGGAAUGCUGCGAGCAGGAGAAAUGGUUUGCCCCAAGAGAAGGAAGAAGAGAAAGAUGAAAAGGAGGAGGACAAGUAGGCUUGGGGACCACUGGUGGUAAAUAGAGGGCAGUUUGCAUUCCCUGGCCCAGGCUUCCAUCAUUGGACCUCAGCUUGUAUUGCCAAGGCUCCCUUUGACACUGACCCACCUGAAUCACUGUUUUAAAGACUACUGUCAUUCCCCGAGCCACCCAGGUCUGGAAGCUGGAAGUUCAUGAGCAAGUUGCCAGAGGGGCAGAGUUCUUGAUGAGCAUUAGAUGGUCCACCCCAUUCUUGCCACACAACGAAAGUCGACAACUGUAUAAUCCAGUCCAGCCUGAAACUCAUGGCAAUCAUUCUUCCUCAGUUUUGAAGUAUUUGAAUUAUAGGCCCAUAUCACUAUACAAUGCCUUCAUAACAACACUAAUCUCAUCCCAGAGAUUCCAUCGUCAUGGCCUAAUCUAAAAUUAUUUUACCUUCAACAAACCUCAACUCACAAUACUAUCCCGUUGGAGGCUAAAAUAUCACCAUAUGGAUUUAGGGGUAGGGAAAAAAACCUCAUCCAAAAUUGUAGUUUUCUGUUGACAAAAGAAGAAAUAUAAUCUGGCCUGAAUUAAAGCAUUUUAAUAAUUG
ensembl:lincRNA 4933436E23Rik RIKEN cDNA 4933436E23 gene